rnacentral:rRNA from 1 species
GUGUCAGCAGCCGCGGUAAUACGGAGGGUGCAAGCGUUGUUCGGAUUUAUUGGGCGUAAAGCGCGUGUAGGCGGUUUCUUAAGUCUGAUGUGAAAGCCCUGGGCUCAACCCAGGAAGUGCAUUGGAUACUGGGAGACUUGAAUACGGGAGAGGGUAGUGGAAUUCCUAGUGUAGGAGUGAAAUCCGUAGAUAUUAGGAGGAACACCGGUGGCGAAGGCGGCUACCUGGACCGAUAUUGACGCUGAGACGCGAAAGCGUGGGGAGCAAACAGGAUUAGAUACCCUGGUAGUCC